GCUUUUUGUAAUUAGUUUUAAUUAUACAUUAUUUUGGUAAUAGGUAGAACUCACGAAAGCAAUUUCAGCAUAUAUAUAACACAAUCAUUUACAGAAAUUUGCAUCCAUUUUCUAUUUCAUGGCGGCAGGAUCACAAAAGCUGUUUUUCAAAUGUAGUAUACAUUAUCACAAAGAAGAAGAAGAUUGACAAAGAGAGUAAAUAGCCAUUGUGUU
rnacentral:misc_RNA from 1 species